UAGAAACACGACCUGCUGUAGCAGGGAUAGCUUUGCAGCAGGGAAACGUCUGCCGCACACAUGCAAAAAGGGAGAUAAUGUGCUUUACAGCUGACAUAAGGGCAGGCAAAUCAUAAGAACUAUCCUGUUGGAUGAAACUAUCUAUUCCAGCAGUCUGCCUCCAACAGCAGCUAGCCAGAUGCCUCUGGGAAGAUCACAAGUUUAGACUGAAGAGUGCCAGUGAAUGCGUCAUCAUAGAAAAUAUGGCUGAAUACCGGCAUCACAGGAAAGUACUCCACCUUAAAGGUUUGGAAUCCAGUGCCAGUAUCCAACUCAAAUUGUGUUUGUUCUGCAGGAAACCAACAGAAAUGAAAAGCACAGCUGUCCGGGUUUCGAUGAAACUGAUCCUAGUUCUUGAGGAAAUGAAAUAAAAUACAUCAGUGUUCAGUUGAGUUCCUGCAUUCCCCGCCGGCAGCAAUCCUUCAUCUCCAAGACAUUUCUCACUGUCUUUUAAUUUGGUUGGUUCAGAAUGAGGAAUGGAGGCUGCGACAGCUUCACUGAAUAAGGGAGUCUCUGUUGAGCCAGUUCAUCACACAACACAGCAUCUAUGGAAGCAUUAACUGAGACGCUGUGAUCCACCGGCUUAGAUGGGGUGCUGGUAAAUACUCCUUCUGGAUUGUCUUCUUCUAUGACCAGUUUGUCAAGCUGCACAGAUAAGUCUAAAUCAAAAUCUGACUCUUCCUCCAGUGACAAUUCCUGUGCCUGGGCUAUGUCCUGCAAAGCAAGCGGGAAAGUGCUCUCUAGGGGAGGCCGCCCAAAGAGAGAUAAGUUGUGAAUCCUGCGUAUGUCUCCUUGAGUUCUAUAGAAGGCAGACAAAGGAAAUACUGGAGACACAUGGUAUUUGGCCACUGUGAUUUUAUUUUAUUUAUGGACUGGCUAUGUAGGUGCAGACUCUAGAUCAACUGAAGGGCUAUUUCUGUAGGAUAGAGUGACCUCUCUAAAAGGCCAAGUAAAAAAGAUCUAAAUAAGAUCAUAAAUUAU